UACGUAGGGGGCAAGCGUUGUCCGGAAUCAUUGGGCGUAAAGAGCGUGUAGGCGGCCCGAUAAGUCCGCUGUGAAAGUCCAGGGCUCAACCCUGGAAUGCCGGUGGAUACUGUCGGGCUCGAGUUCGGAAGAGGUGAGUGGAAUUCCUGGUGUAGCGGUGAAAUGCGCAGAUAUCUGGAGGAACACCGGUGGCGAAGGCGGCAUCCUGGACCGACACUGACGCUGAGGCGCGAAAGCUAGGGUAGCAAACGGG
rnacentral:rRNA from 1 species